rnacentral:rRNA from 1 species
CACGUAGGCGGAUAUUUAAGUCAGGGGUGAAAUCCCAGAGCUCAACCCUGGAACUGCCUUUGAUACUGGGUAUCUUGAGUAUGGAAGAGGUAAGUGGAAUUCCGAGUGUAGAGGUGAAAUUCGUAGAUAUUCGGAGGAACACCAGUGGCGAAGGCGGCUUACUGGUCCAUUACUGACGCUGAGGUGCGAAAGCGUGGGGAGCAAACG